GACGAACGCUGGCGGCGUGCCUAAUACAUGCAAGUAGAACGCUGAAGGAGGAGCUUGCUUCUCUGGAUGAGUUGCGAACGGGUGAGUAACGCGUAGGUAACCUGCCUGGUAGCGGGGGAUAACUAUUGGAAACGAUAGCUAAUACCGCAUAAGAGUAGAUGUUGCAUGACAUUUGCUUAAAAGGUGCGAUUGCAUCACUACCAGAUGGACCUGCGUUGUAUUAGCUAGUUGGUGGGGUAACGGCUCACCAAGGCGACGAUACAUAGCCGACCUGAGAGGGUGAUCGGCCACACUGGGACUGAGACACGGCCCAGACUCCUACGGGAGGCAGCAGUAGGGAAUCUUCGGCAAUAGACGGAAGUCUGACCGAGCAACGCCGCGUGAGUGAAGAAGGUUUUCGGAUCGUAAAGCUCUGUUGUAAGAGAAGAACGAGUGUGAGAGUGGAAAGUUCACACUGUGACGGUAUCUUACCAGAAAGGGACGGCUAACUACGUG
rnacentral:rRNA from 1 species